rnacentral:lncRNA from 1 species
AAAAAACAAAAAACGAAAAUCGAAAAUAAGUAAAUAAAUAAAUAAAUAAAUAAAAUAAAACAGAAAUUUUUUGGACUUGGGCCUCUCUCAUUUGAGCCCACAGGUCCACAAAAAUCAGGUUAUAAAUUCAGAGUUUCAGUGAAACAAAAUUCCAUUCUAUUCCUAUUACCCUGGCAGGAAAAAAGAUAGUGAGAGAAGAGCUAACAGAGUUUAGAGCAAACUCCAGAGACUGAGGGAACUCAUUGGAAAAUAACCAAUUCCCUCUCAUAUAAACCCUC